UAAUUUUCCCUUCCAACUGCAUCUCUCCCCAUAAUUCGGCACCAUGAAAAAUUAAAAUUCCUGCCCUGUAAUCCCAAUAAAUCCCAUGAUCAGUGUGAGUGAAUGAAACUUUUCUAUCAUGCAGGUAGAAUCCACACAUCUCCAUGGAUGGAUAAUGGUUUGACUUCUUUGGGUUCAUGUAUAUGGGAUUGAUUGUUUAUGGAGUUCUUUAGAGACAACUGAAAA